ACGAAUCGAAAACAUCAGGACGAUCAAGAUCAAGGUUACGUAACUAAAACAGGUCAUUUGUUCGACUAGGUGCUAGUUUCCAUUAGUUUGCGAUAAAAUCGAGGUGAUGCGGAAUCGAUCAUGCGCACGAAUGAACGCGGACAAGAAAAGAAAUCUUCUUGUGAAAAAGCAGGGAUUGUUUGCUAUAGGCUAAGGUUAUGUAUAUCUAUUCAAGAAGGAACCGAAGUUUGCCACCAAACGUUCGAUAGAUCAGUAUAAUCGAUUCUCGUCUUGCAUCUAAUUCUUGCUUGUUCAGUGUGAUUCGAUUAAAUCAAUGGUUUCAAUUACACGGUAGUGUUAGGUUUUAAUUAGUGGUCUAGAAGAUGUGAAGUGAAAGAUAGUAUAAACUACCUGUAUACAAUAGGUUUAUCUUUACAUAAUUCAAUCAGUGAAACGUGUCAACAAAGUUUUAAAUCAAGAUAGACUUGUCGAUUCGAGUGAAACAUCAAUUGGCUGCCAUCAUCGAAGCAAAUCUUUGAAGAGUGUAAAAAUGGGUGUGGAAUAAGCACGUGCUAGCUCGAGCCAACGGUUUGGACGACGAGGCGAGAGAGGAAAGGAGAGAGGAGCGAGAGAAAGGGGAUCUCGAACGAUCACGUGUCGUUCCCUCGCGCGUAUUUUGGAAAAUAAUUUUCGAGGAGCAAAAGGAGGUCGUUCCGUGCCAAGAUCCAGGAAGAAGACGCGUUUAUCGCGCGAACACAACAACGGACGCGCGGCUCCACUCGAUUAAUUACCUUUUGAUCGAGGUGAAACCGAGAGAAGGGAACCGACAGAGAGAGAGGAGGGAAAAACGAAGAGGAUCGUAACGACCUACCGAUAUCGCACGAUCAAAGGCAACCGUACGAGGGAAAGGUGUACCUGUCGCGACGCGAGAGUGCACGUAAACAUCUUCAGAGGCCCGUCCCGCGCAUCCUGGAUCGUCCUCGUUAGAAAGUUCGAUCUCUCUACCCGAACCGCGAGAAAACCGACUCUCUAUCGAUAUAUCCCACGUUAUAUUCUAUCCAAUUAUAUUUUCCUCCUCUAAACAUUCUCAACUACGCUACUCCCACACGUAUUGUUACGUAUAUAAAACAAAGUGUUAAAACAUAGUGAUUGAAUAGUGUCCUUUAAGGAGAAAAUAUUAAUUUCAACGGAAUAUUCAAUGUUAUUAUACUUACGAAGAGUGGAGAACCGUGAGAUUCAACGAGAUAUAUAUGUAUACAUAUAUAUAACAGUGGCUCGUAUUUAUAAGUGUGUGCCCGCGGACCGGAA